GCCCUUAGAGUUUGAUCCUGGCUCAGAUUGAACGCUGGCGGCAUGCCUAACACAUGCAAGUCGAACGGUAACGCUGGGAGCUUGCUCCCUGGCGACGAGUGGCGGACGGGUGAGUAACGCGUAGGAAUCUGCCUGGUAGCGGGGGAUAACUCGGGGAAACUCGAGCUAAUACCGCAUACGCCCUACGGGGGAAAGCGGGGGAUCUUCGGACCUCGCACUAUCAGAUGAGCCUGCGUCCAAUUAGCUUGUUGGUGAGGUAACGGCUCACCAAGGCGACAAUUGGUAGCUGGUCUGAGAGGAUGAUCAGCCACACUGGGACUGAGACACGGCCCAGACUCCUACGGGAGGCAGCAGUGGGGAAUAUUGGACAAUGGGCGAAAGCCUGAUCCAGCAAUGCCGCGUGUGUGAAGAAGGCCUGCGGGUUGUAAAGCACUUUCAGCAGGGAGGAAAAGCUGUCGGUUAAUAACUGGCGGUCUUGACGUUACCUGCAGAAGAAGCACCGGCCAACUCCGUGCCAGCAGCCGCGGUAAUACGGAGGGUGCAAGCGUUAAUCGGAAUUACUGGGCGUAAAGCGCGCGUAGGCGGCUGUGUAAGUUAGAUGUGAAAGCCCCGGGCUCAACCUGGGAAUUGCAUCUAAUACUAUACAGCUAGAGUUUGAUAGAGGAGAGCGGAAUUCCCGGUGUA
rnacentral:rRNA from 1 species